ensembl:lncRNA
CCAUAUGCACUGUCCAUACAUUAAAAGACUCAUAGGAUGUUUGAAAAAGAAGGACACCACAAACGGAGCUGAAGUGAAAAAUAUGAACAUUAUUUAAUAACUGAUUCUCUGUAAUAAACAAUUUGAAAAUAUUUUACAAGGAGUCACAGACACAAUAUUUUACAAAUUUUGCCCUCAUCUUUUUUCUUUUUGAAGUUUCUUCUGUACAAAAAAAUGGAGCAACGUGGACCAACGUCGCUGGAGGCCACACACUGACCAAUGCACAAACAGAAAAACUCCCACUGGAUAGCAGACCUCAAACUCAUGAUUAUUAUCAGAUGAACUUUAGUCCUAUAUAUAUAUAGUAUGUUUAUAUUUCUUUUUUUUUUUUAGUCUCACUUAAUGUUGAAAUCUUAUCUUUUAUACUGCUUUUUUUUCUUUUACACAUUUGUCAGACAUGGUCACAGGGCACCAGACUAAGGACUACAGAAUCACAUACAUACGUGUGUUGUCCACGGAAACGCACCUACAUAGACAAGGCAACAGGGUCGAGAGGGGCAGGCGAAGGUGGGGGGAGGGAUUCAAUCCCCGUCCCCUCCAGGAAGCUGACUGUGAAGAGACGCCCCACUCUCUCUCUCUCCCCCACAAACCAUUCCUUUCAUUUAACUUGUCUUUUUUUUUUGGCAAAAUGAAAAUUUCUCAAACCACAAAAAUAUUGGACCAUGAAGCCCAAAAGAAAUCUCUCCCUUUGUUAUUUUUUUCCUUAGAGGGACACGCACACAGACACACACACAUACACACACACACACACACACAAUCCCAGGCUCUCCUCUUCCUCCACCUAAAUGUGUUCCACACCUUAAAGCGAACAAAUCAAAGUUUUAGAAUCCAUGUCAGCAGGAGAAUAAGGUAAUGACUGCGUACACCACUCCAGUUGUAAGGCCACCAUAAAGUCUUCAGUCUUACUAGUAGAGGUCUUACUAAAGGGAGGAUGUUCAAAAAAGUCAACAACAGAGCUGGAGUGAGUAUGGGG